AUGUGUGCAGUCAGACCUUGGAUCUGUCUCUUACUCGCUUGCGGCCAUCUGUGCAAACAUCUUCCUAGCCAUUCCAUCCUUCUCUUGGAAUGGCAGCCCUGUGUUCUUGAGCGCUGCUUCUUCAUGGCUCCAGCCACAGGGCUUCAUCAGGAGCCUCAUUCAUCUUACAGGAUCAGGUCUCCUAUCCCAAGAAGGGACAGUCAAAGUCACCUGCCUCAUGGGCACAGCUGGCGUAGAGGCAGGCAUCUGAGCCAGGGCCAGCCCCAGCCUCUCUCCAUUCAUGGGGGCCACACAGAGUUUCAGAGAGUUUGAGAGCAUCUCCCAAGAGACGAACAUCUCCAGGAAGGAAGAUUAUGCCUGUCCUAUAUGGUCCAGUCACUGUCUGCAAACCCACUCAAUCACAGCCACCCUGGGGGCCAAGUAACUCUGGCUCAUGCUAAGAGGAAGAGCUUCAGUCAGAUUCAGGAGCAGAGUCUGAGGGGUCCCGAGUUACAGCCAAGAGUAAAUAAUAAACUUCAAAUCAGCAUGUUUUAUAGUUGCUUUUGUUGUUAUUCUGUCAACCACCAGAAAAAUCUUAGCUAAAAUCUGCACUGUGAUUUUUGUCAGUUUCUUCUUGAAUUCCAUUUCAUAUAUAUUUUUAAUUGGAGUAUAGUUCCCUUACAAUGUUGUGUUAGUUCCUGCUGUACAACAAUGUGAAUCAGCUAUACUUAUACAUAUAUCCCUUCCCUCUUGAGCCUCCUUCCCAUCCCACCCCUUCAAUUUCUUCCUGAAUUUCUAGUAGUAUCUGUUGUAUACAUUUUCAUGCCAUGUGUUUGCAUUCCUGGCCUCUUGCCAUCUUAAAGUUAAAAGAAGAUAACAAUUCCUGGGAUGUUAUGCAUCAUACAAAGGAAGUCCUGUCUCUCAUACCAAAGGGAUACAAGCAGAGUCAAGGUGCUUGCUUUCCCCCACCCAGUCUUACCAGCAUUGUGUCUGGCAACCCAAGUCAUUCUGGGAACACCAUACCCAGAAUCACAUGCUGUGGGACCCAAUCCCAUGGGUCUGUCUGUGUGUAUGUGUGUGUGUGUGUUUUAAUGCAAAUCUCAGCUUCCAAAGCAAGAUCCUCAUUUGGAAUUUAAAAGAGUUCUAGGUUGUUUAACGUUUGAGUGGAAUUCCUGAGCCUGUUAACUGGUCACAGUCUACUAGCUCUCAUAAUUAGCAAGAGACAUUGUAUUAUGCAAACACCACUCAGUUUUCAACAAUGACUAACUGCUCUGUUUCAGACUGUUUACUUAAGAGUGGGGUUUUCAUCCACAAUCGAUGUUUCUGGGUAGUUACUUAUUUAACACUGAGAGACAAGAGAGGAUGAACACCCAAAUCACUCAUUCCUCUACUACUUCUCAACACCCUCCUCAUCCCACCGCCAGCCCCAAAUCCCGGCACUGUGGGUGACUUGGCUCCAAGUCUUAUCUGGCUAGAAAUACAGAUCAUUGGAACAGGAUAGAAAGUCUAGGGGUAAACCCACGCACCUAAGGUCACCUAAUCUAUGACAAAGGGGUUCUUUGCCUGGUGGCUCAGACGGCAAAGAACCUAUAAUGCAGGAGACCUGGGUUUAAUCCUUGGGCCAGGAAGAUCCUCUGCAGGAGGGCAUGGAAACUCACUCUAGUAUUCUUACCUGGAGAAUCCUAUGGACAGAGGAGCCUGGUGGGCUACCAUCCAUGAGGUCGCAAAUAGUUGGACAUGACUGAAGCAACUUAGCAUAGCACACACACAGCACAAUCUAUGACAAAGGAGGCAAAUGCAUACAAUGGAGAAAAGACAGUCUCUUCAAUAAGUAAUGCUGGGAAAACUAGACUGCUACAUGUAAAAGAAUGGAAUUAGAACACUGCCUAACACCAUACACAAAAUUAAACUCAAAAUGGAUGAAAGACCUAAAUGUAAGGCCAGAUACUAUAAAACUCUUAGAAGAAAAUAUAGGCAGAACACUCUGACAAAAAUCAUAGCAAGAUCUUUUUGACCCACUGCCUAGAGUGAUGAAAAUAAAAACAUAAAUAAACAAAUGGGGCCUAAUUAAACGUAAAACCUUUUGCAGAGCAAAGAAAACCAUGUAGAAAACAAAACCACAACCCCUAUAAUGUAUAUGGUGACUGCAACCAUGAAAUUAAAAGACGCUUGCUCCUUGGAAGAAAAGUUACGACAAACCUAGAUGGCAUAUGAAAAAGCAGAGACAUCACUUUGGCGACAAAGGUCCAUCUAGUCAAAGCCAUGGUUUUUCCAGGAGUCACGUAUGAAUGUGAGAGGUGGACCGUAUGGAAGACUGAGUGCUGAAGAACUGAUGGUUUUGAACUGUGGUACUGGAGAAGAUUCUCCAGGGUCCCUUGGACAGCAAGGAGAUCAAACCAGUCAGUCUUAAAGGAAAUCAACUCUGAAUAUUCAUUUGAAGGAUUGUUGCUGAAGCUGAAGCUCCAUUACUUUGGCCACCUGAUGCGAAGAGCUAUCUCAUUGGAAAAGACCCUGAUGCUGGGAAAGACUGAGGGCAGGAGGAGAAGGGGAUGACAGAGGAUGGAAUGAUUGGAUGGCAUCACUGACUGAAUGGACAUGAGUUUGAGCAGGUUCUGGGAGACAGUGAAGGACAGGGAAGCCUGGCAUGCUACAUGCAGUCCAUGGGGUCUCAGAGAGCUGGAUACAACUUUGCAACUGAACAACAACAACAAAUUAUGGGAGAAAAUAUGUGCAAAUGAAGCAACUGAUAAGGGAUUAAUCUAAAUUUUACAAACAGUUCAUGCAGCUCAAUAGAAAACAAAACAAAACACCAAAUCUUAUCUAGCUAUUGAGCUGUGUGACCUUGGGAAAGUCAGUUCCCUGCCUUGAGUCUCAGUUCCCUCAUCUGCAAACUCUGGGGGCUGAAUUGGGUGAUGCCAAAAGGCCCUUCCACCUGGAAGGUGUGGGGAUUGGGGGAGAAGAUGAAAUGUCUCCUUCUCUGUUAAAACUCAAACAUGUUUAUUACUUACUAAAAACCACAGCACCACAGACUCCAAGCAGACUAUAGGAAACAAAGUGUCCCAGUGUCUUGUAGUCAUCCACAUUCUUUUAUUGCCAUGGACAAAUGCAAAAAGAAGGACUAAAGAUACUUGCAGAGUAACAUUUUAGAAAAAUGGGGAGAAGGCGACAGCACAGUUAAGGCUUCCCCAGUGGCUCAGACGGUAAAGAAUCCACCUGCAAUGUAGGUGUUCAAUUUCUGGGUCGGGAAGAUCCCCUGGAAAAGGGAAUAGCUACCCAUUCCUGAAUUCUUGCCUGGAGAAUUCAUGGAUAGAGGAGACUGUUGGGAUACAGUCCGUGAGGUUGCAAAGUGUCGGACAUGACUGAGCGACUAACACUUUCACUUUUCACUUUUCAACAGCACAGUUGAAUAUAUGUGUGUCUGCGAGUAAAACGGUCAUGUUCGCUACAAUUUUAGUUUUUUAAGGAGACUAUUAAAAAAUAUAUUUGGAGAUAAUACCAAAAUGAGCCACAUGGAGUGGCUGACAUAUGAAUGCCAAGGAGAGAAACUGGCUUACUUCUAAGGGGUGUGGAAAGUUGGAGAAGGGAAAGAGUUUGGUGGCAGUGAGGGUACAGUGAUGCUGGGGCCUAUGUGAAGAUACUCGUACAGAGCAGAGCCUAAAAAAGAAUCGCCUGGGUAGCAGAAGCAUUAAAAAUGGAUUUUUACCUUGCUUGAGAUGGAGUGACAAAUCUUCAGUCAAAUAUCCUUGUUGUUCUUGAUUAGUCGCUAGUCAUGUCUGACUCUUUGUGACCCCGUGGACUGUAGCCCCCCAGGCUCCUUUUUCUAUGGGAUUUUCCAGGCAAGAAUACUGGAGUGGGUUGUUAAUUCCUCCUUCAGGGGAUCUUCCUGACCCAGGGAUCAAACUUGUGUCUCCUGCAUUGGCAGGUGGAUUUUUUACCACUGAGCCAUCAAGGAGGCCCUGUGUAUUUGUUAAGUGCAUGGGGUUAUUUGAGUGUGCUGCCAUUUGGGAGGAUGUGGAAGAGAGGCUGAGCUCUCAUUUAACUGACGCUGGGAAAAUCAGGGGCAGCGACUUGAUACAAGGAUAAGGUGUACCCAAGCUGUUCUCUCUCUAUACCUCAUUAUCUGUCUAGGCCUGGUCCACCUUUUUUUUUAAUUACUUUUUAAUAUUUAUUAAUUUAUUUGGCUGCACCUGGUCUUAUAGUUGUGGUACAUGGGAUCUAGUUCCCUGACUGACCUCAGGUAACGUUGGCCUGCAGUGGUUUGAAGUAGAGCUUCAGUUCCCCACCAGAGAUUGAGAUGGGGUCUUGGAGAUAAGAGGACCUAGUCACUAGGUCAGUGGUCAGUGACAAGGCCCUUCAGCUUUGCAGAAAAGAGUUCCCACAGAGAUAGAAAGUUGUGAAACCAGUAUUUACUAGAGUACAGUUGGUGUGGAUAGACACACAGGCAGGCUCAGAGAGAGAGUCAUGCCCUGGUGGUAGUUUGAAUCACUUUUAGUGGGUAUUUCUUCCAGGUUUCCUCUGGUCAAUCAUUUAGAUUUGCCUGGUACUGACUCUGUAUUUGGUAUAUCUCAGGAUCCCUUCAGUGUGCGUGGCAUCUCUUAGCCAAGGCAGACUCUAGCGAAGAGGCCUAUGGGUAGGUUGACAACACUUACUAGGGUGGCUGCUGCUGCUGCUGCUAAGUCACUUCAGUCGUGUCUGACUCUGUGCGACCCCAUAGAGGGCAGCCUACAAGGCUCCCCCGUCCCUGGGAUUCUCCAGGCAAGAACACUGGAGUGGGUUGCCAUUUCCUUCUCCAAUGCAUGAAAGUGAAAAGUGAAAGUGAAGACGCUCAGUCAUGUCCGACUCUUAGCGACUCCAUGGACUGCAGCCUACCAGGCUCCUCCGCCCAUGGGAUUUUCCAGGCAAGAGUAGUGGAGUGGGUUGCCAUUGCCUUCUCUGACUAGGGUGGUGC
ensembl:lncRNA